rnacentral:rRNA from 1 species
GACGAACGCUGGCGGCGUGCUUAACACAUGCAAGUCGAACGGUGAACCUCUUCGGAGGGGAUCAGUGGCGAACGGGUGAGUAACACGUGGGCAACCUGCCCCCGGCUCUGGGAUAACUCCAAGAAAUUGGGGCUAAUACCGGAUGUUCACCGCUUCCCGCAUGGGUGGUGGUGCAAAGGGUUUCCGGCUGGGGAUGGGCCCGCGGCCUAUCAGCUUGUUGGUGGGGUAGUGGCCUACCAAGGCGACGACGGGUAGCCGGCCUGAGAGGGUGACCGGCCACACUGGGACUGAGACACGGCCCAGACUCCUACGGGAGGCAGCAGUGGGGAAUAUUGCGCAAUGGGCGGAAGCCUGACGCAGCGACGCCGCGUGGGGGAUGACGGCCUUCGGGUUGUAAACCUCUUUCAGCAGGGACGAAGCGCAAGUGACGGUACCUGCAGAAGAAGCACUGGCCAACUACGUG